rnacentral:rRNA from 1 species
GAUGAACGCUGGCGGCGUGCCUAAUACAUGCCAGUCGAGCGAACGGACGAGAAGCUUGCUUUUCUGAUGUUAGCGGCGGACGGGUGAGUAACACGUGGAUAACCUACCUAUAAGACUGGGAUAACUUCGGGAAACCGGAGCUAAUACCGGAUAAUAUUUUGAACCGCAUGGUUCAAAAGUGAAAGACGGUCUUGCUGUCACUUAUAGAUGGAUCCGCGCUGCAUUAGCUAGUUGGUAAGGUAACGGCUUACCAAGGCAACGAUGCAUAGCCGACCUGAGAGGGUGAUCGGCCACCCUGGAACUGGGACACGGUCCAGACUCCUACGGGAGGCAGCAGUAGGGAAUCGUCCGCAAUGGGCGAAAGCCUGACGGAGCAACGCCGCGUGAGUGAUGAAGGUCUUCGGAUCGUAAAACUCUGUUAUUAGGGAAGAACAUAUGUGUAAGUAACUGUGCACAUCUUGACGGUACCUAAUCAGAAAGCCACGGCUAACUACGUG